UGAAUUCCACUUCUCCACAUUAUAAGUGUGCGAGUCUAGCCACACAGUAAAAUGCAUGUUUAGAUUCAUGGAAUUCAGCAGAAUCAGACACAUUAUAAUUUUAUGCAAAAUCUCGGGGGUUCUUCGUAAUUUCAACAAAUUCACCAAGAUUCCAAACAUUCACGUGAGUAAUAUUUUUCAAUGGGUUAGAUUGUUAGAACAGGAUCAAAUUAUUGUGGUGAAUGUGAAUAAAUAACCAUGUUUUUGUCUCCUUUGAAGGGAAUAAAUAAUACUUUCAGUGACAGAUAGAUGAAGUUAUAAGUGACAGUGCCACAGUGGCAUUUAUUUCAACAACAGUUCCUUUCUUUGUCUUCAUUUCUUCCAAACUCCCAACUUUACCAAAAACGGAUUAAUUUUGAUGGGUAACAAACAAAUCUUUUCUUUUUCUCUUUUCAUACACAACUCCAAAAUUUCAAGAUUUUUCCCAUUCUGAGCUAUGUGAUUCUUUACUUUUGUUAAAUUCUUGUUUCCUUUCCACUAAUCUCUGUUGCUGGUGCUUUGUUUUUGCAGCAAAAGCAAUCCCUUUGUGUAACAAAUGGUAUGGACAUGGACAACACUUCUGGACCACACAUUCCUUGCAAAAUUUCAACCACCGGUUUGUUUCCUCAACUUGCUUACAUUCUACAAAUAAUAUUCUUAGCAUUAUUACAUUUACAUAUCAUUUUUCACAUUUACUAAUAUGACUCCAUCUACAUGUAGUAGUUUCUUUUCAUACAUACAUAGUAAAUUCCCAUUUUUUUUAGUAUACAAGAAAAAUAAAUCGGAACAAUUUAGUCACCGCAUGAACAUUGUCACAUCUAGUCCAAUUCAAUUCAGCUAGGGACUAAGUUUGUCUGGUUUAAUUUUACAAGUAGUAAAAAAAUGCUUUUAUGCUUUUUCCAGGGACUAGAUUGGAUUUCACGUUUUUUCGAAGAAUUACAUUCGGUCUUCACUCUUUAANNN
rnacentral:lncRNA from 1 species